UGUUGCAUUGCGCCGCCUAGAGGGACGGACGCCUAAAGAUGGCGGUUCGCUCGUUCUCUCGCUGACAACGUGCUUCUGUUUUCCAGAUGGACAUCGAGGUGAGAGUAGUGAACCCCAUAAAGAAUCUUAUUCUUACUUCCCAUUUGAAACCGGUAACAUAAACAAGACAACACACCAAAGAGACAAAUGGAAGGAAUAUAUGGAAUACACUGCAUGUUACACACAUGUCAAAAGCAAUCUCUGCUGCAGGAUCGGAGACAUCUUCAUUGUGAGGCGACAAGUGUAAUCAAUCUUCCUCAAGACAAGGUAGGGGGCCUGCCGAGGGGGGGAUUAUUGGUGCUUAGUAGCCCGGGGAUCAUAAAACAAGGAAAUUGAAAGUGAUAUUUAAUUGACACUGCCAUUCCCACUGCACGGCGAAAUCUUGUCCCCCAUUGCCACGUCUCUCCCACACACCAGGCCGUCUUGCUUACCACAGGUGAAGGGACGGGAGGAAAGAACCAGCCAGAGAACAUUUCCUUUCAAACCCUGCAAUAGAAGCCGGAGAGCAAGCUGUCACUCUCAGAUCACAGCGCUGUGAAAGAGACAAUGAUGGGAAAGUUUUAAGUUGAGAAAAAUAGGUUUCAAAAUGUCACCUCAUCGGCGUGGUGCUCCAUACUCUAGUGAAGUGGAACAUGGUCAAAACUGUCCAUCUGAAUGAUUAUACCUGUUUAUUCAGCUUUGCCUGUGCAAACAAAAGCAAAGAAUUUUCAAUGCAUGCAUAUAUGCAUAGAAAAUAUAUACAUUUACCAUCUCCAGAUUAGAAUUUAAAAACCACGAUAGGUCCAGUCAUGCAUUUUAAUACUAUUAUAUAGAAAAUAUACAUAUAUUAUAAUUGUGUAUAUAUAUAUAUAUUUAUAAAUUAGGGCCGGGACUUUACCACGUUAAUUACGAUGAAUUAAUUACACAAAAAAUAACACAAACAUUUUUUACACUUAUUUUUUGCACCGCGGAACGUUUCUCACUGGAUGGGUUUCGGAGGACCGAUUAUACUGGAGCACCAACUAGCGUCCAUGACUUCAGACAACAACAAACCACAGUGAACAUGAACGAAGAAGCUGAUUAUAAUAAACACACGGAUGGAAGCGUCGAUAAGAGCGUGGUUGUGUGCAAGCUGUGCAACAAGGAAUUCACAUCGAGCCUCAAGUAUCACCUCAACGCAACACAAUUAGCAGCUAGCGUGGACGUACAAGGACCCACACCCAACCCACACUGCACCAGAUGACUGGUUUAAGGACCAGGGUAACUAAGUCCACGUCUGAAAAAAUAACCAAUGUUCUGAAUGUACUUGAAAGUAUUGGUCUACUUAAAAAAAACAUAGUUUACAGAAGGUCUACUUACCUAUAGGCUACCUGAAUUUCUGAAAGUACUAUAUUUCUAAAUAUGCUAUUUCUACACUUGUCUCCUGGAAUUGGUUGAA